CGGAGCGAAUCGCUAAAAGCCGUCCCAGUUCGGAUUGCAGGCUGCAACCCGCCUGCAUGAAGUUGGAAUCGCUAGUAAUCGCGGAUCAGCAUGCCGCGGUGAAUACGUUCCCGGGCCUUGUACACACCGCCCGUCACACCAUGAGAGUCGGGAACACCCGAAGUCCGUAGCCUGACCGCAAGGGGGGCGCGGCCGAAGGUGGGUUCGAUAAUUGGGGUGAAGUCGUAACAAGGUAAC
rnacentral:rRNA from 1 species